rnacentral:rRNA from 1 species
UACGGGGGGGGCAAGCGUUGUUCGGAAUUACUGGGCGUAAAGGGCUCGUAGGCGGCCAACUAAGUCGGACGUGAAAUCCCCAGGCUCAACCUGGGAACUGCGUCCGAUACUGGAUGGCUUGAAUUCGGGAGAGGGAUGCAGAAUUCCAGGUGUAGCGGUGAAAUGCGUAGAUAUCUGAAGGAACAUCAGUGGCGAAAGCGACUUCCUGGACCAAUACUGACGCUCAUGUGCGAAAGCGUGGGGAGCAAACAGG